rnacentral:rRNA from 1 species
UACGUAGGGUGCAAGCGUUGUCCGGAAUCAUUGGGCGUAAAGCGCGUGUAGGCGGCUCGAUAAGUCUGCUGUGAAAGUCCAGGGCUCAACCCUGGAAUGCCGGUGGAAACUGUCGAGCUAGAGUCCGGAAGAGGCGAGUGGAAUUCCUGGUGUAGCGGUGAAAUGCGCAGAUAUCAGGAGGAACACCAAUGGCGAAGGCAGCUCGCUGGGACGGUACUGACGCUGAGGCACGAAAGCUAGGGGAGCAAACAGG